rnacentral:lncRNA from 1 species
UCUAGAACAAGAUUGUGUCACAUGACGAUGCUCAACAAGGUUCAAUGGUUAAAUGAAGGAAGAAAACAAGAGGACUUUGGCAUAAGAUGCACAGCGAAGAAGAAAUAUAUAUGCUGGGCUUGCUGAAGAAGCUGUAAAAGCGAAAACAGAGCCCCAAAGGUGAUGACAACAGGUGCAAGUGUGACAUGGAGCAACAUGAAUUCAACCAGGGCAACAGAGGUAAUAUACUUUGCUCUCUGUGAAGCCCUUUGACUUGAAGAAAUAGUGAUCUAAGAUAAUGUCCUGCCAUCCAGAAGAAUUGUAGGCACGGGAGAGAUUGAAAUUGGUGU